UACGUAGGCAGCGAGCGUUGUUCGGAGUUACUGGGCGUAAAGAGUGCGUAGGCGGUUUUCUAAGUUUGGUGUGAAAUCUCCCGGCUUAACUGGGAGGGUGCGCCGAAAACUGGAAGGCUUGAGUAUGGGAGAGGUAAGCGGAAUUCCGUGGUGUAGCGGUGAAAUGCGUAGAUAUCAGGAGGAACACCUGCGGUGUAGACGGCUUACUGGACCAUAACUGACGCUGAGGCACGAAAGCGUGGGUAGCAAACAGG
rnacentral:rRNA from 1 species